rnacentral:rRNA from 1 species
GUCCACGCCCUAAACGUUGGGCACUAGGUGUUGCGGGUAUUGACCCCUGCAGUGCCGAAGCUAACGCAUUAAGUGCCCCGCCUGGGGGAGUACGGUCGCAAGGCUAAAACUCAAAGGAAUUGACGGGGGCCCGCACAAGCGGUGGAGCAUGUGGUUCAAUUCGACGCAACGCGAAGAACCUUACCUGGGUUUGACAUCCCGAGAAUCCUGUAGAAAUACGGGAGUGCCUCUUUGAGGAGCUCGGUGACAGGUGCUGCAUGGCUGUCGU